AUUGAACGCUGGCGGCAUGCUUUACACAUGCAAGUCGAACGGUAGCAGGUUAAGCUGACGAGUGGCGAACGGGUGAGUAAUGCAUCGGAACGUGCCCGGUCGUGGGGGAUAACACUUCGAAAGAAGUGCUAAUACCGCAUACGAUCUAAGGAUGAAAGCGGGGGACCGUAAGGCCUCGCGCGAUUGGAGCGGCCGAUGUCAGAUUAGGUAGUUGGUGGGGUAAAGGGUGACCAAGACGACGAACUGUAGCUGGUCUGGGAGGACGACCAGCCACACUGGGACUGAGACGCGGCCCAGACUCCUACGGGAGGAAGCAGUGGGGAAUUUUGGACAAUGGGCGCAAGCCUGAUCCAGCAAUGCCGCGUGCAGGAAGAAGGCCUUCGGGUUGUAAACUGCUUUUGUACGGAGCGAAAAGGCUCUCUCUAAUACAGGGGGCUGAUGACGGUACCGUAAGAAUAAGCACCGGCUAACUACGUGCCAGCCGCCGCAGUAA
rnacentral:rRNA from 1 species